rnacentral:lncRNA from 1 species
UUUUUGCUUGUCCUCAAGCAAAUAAACAUAGUCAAAUAAGCUUUCUUUGCUACGUGAUCCUUAUUUCCACUUAAGCUCUUACUCUAGACACCUAUUUUGAAUCAUUGCAGUGAAGAAUACAUGCAUGAAGAUUACUCACCUUCUUUCCUUGUUUCCCUUUACUUACCAUGGCUAGGAUCUGUUUUCCUCAAGAGAGACCAUACAUGCACAUUUAUUUAUUCAGAUAAGACUUUUUCUAGCUUUCAGAGUGACUUGCCCUUACCUUGAAGUACUUUAUUCAGACUUUUGCACUUUAGAUCUUGCUUGAAAAAGUCACCAACCUUUUUACGUGAAGGUACAUAUUUGUGAUACCCACCCCCAGUUACUCAGUUGGUCACCUUUCCAAGUGGCUACUAGCUCUGUUCAUAGUCUUUUGACCAUUGGAACAAUCUUAGAUUUGUGCUUUUGAGGUCUUUGCCUUUGCUGAAUUUUCUUUCUCUCAAUAAUUUGGGCAAAUCAACACCAAUUGCUAAAUCAAGUCACAUUAAGUUCAUUCACACAAUUUUUUAAUUUAUUCUCAUCAAUUGAGGGUCAUCAAUAUAUUUUUCACCAUGUAAAGCUCAAAGAUUCAAUUCAAAAGGCAAUUCUCAAACAUGAAUAUAACUCACUGCAAUUGAUUCAACAUAAGUUUAAAGAGU